ACGGAGGGAAAACACAAUGACUGAGUGGCGGACGGGUGAGUAACGCGUAGGGAACCUGGCCCUUACAGGGGGAUAACAGAUGGAAACAACUGCUAAUACCGCAUAAGCGCCCAGCCUCGCAUGAGGCAGAGUGAAAAACUAAGGUGGUAAGGGAUGGCCCUGCGUCCGAUUAGCUAGUUGGUAUGGUAACGGCAUACCAAGGCGACGAUCGGUAGCCGGCCUGAGAGGGUGGACGGCCACAUUGGGACUGAGACACGGCCCAAACUCCUACGGGAGGCAACAGUGGGGGAUAUUGCACAAUGGGGGAAACCCUGAUGCAGCGACACCGCGUGGGUGAAGAAGCGCUUCGGCGUGUAAAGCCCUAUCAGUGGGGAAGAAAAAGGACGGUACCCAAAGAAGAAGCACCGGCUAAAUACGUGCCAGCAGCCGCGGUAAUACGUAUGGUGCAAGCGUUAUCCGGAAUGACUGGGUGUAAAGGGAGCGUAGACGGUUGUACAAGUCUGAUGUGAAAGCCCACGGCUCAACUGUGGGAGUGCAUUGGAAACUGUAGAACUAGAGUAUCGGAGAGGCAAGUGGAAUUCCUAGUGUAGCGGUGAAAUGCGUAGAUAUUAGGAGGAACACCAGUGGCGAAGGCGGCUUGCUGGACGAAAACUGACGUUGAGGCUCGAAAGCGUGGGGAGCAAACAGGAUUAGAUACCCUGGUAGUCCACGCUGUAAACGAUGAAUACUAGGUGUUGGGGCCCGAAGGGCGUCGGUGCCGUCGCAAACGCAGUAAGUAUUCCACCUGGGGAGUACGUUCGCAAGAAUGAAACUCAAAGGAAUUGA
rnacentral:rRNA from 1 species